rnacentral:rRNA from 1 species
GAAUCUAAGGGCGUAUGGUGGAUGCCUUGGUUGAAAGAGGCGAUGAAGGACGUAGUAUGGCUGCGAUAAGCUCCGGUAAGAUGCCUAACAAUCGUUAUACCCGGAGAUCUCCGAAUGGGGGAACCCAACUGUUUUUUAACAGUUAUUAUAGAUUUAAUCUAUUUUGCAUACCUAGGGAAGUGAAACAUCUCAGUACCUAGAGGAAUAGAAAACAAGUCUGAUUAAUUCAGACAACAUUUCCUUAGUAGCGGCGAGCGAAAAGGAAGAAGCCCAAACCAAUUGUAUUUAUAUAAUUGGGGUUGUAAGACUGUAACUUAGCUUCGGCUAGGAGAGUUACAAAGUGAUUUAUUAGUUGAAUUAACUGGAAAGUUAAACCUUAGACGGUAAUAGUCCCGUAAACGAAAAUAAAUCAUCUCUCUUGUUACAGCUCUUGAGUAGCUCAGGACACGAAUAGCCUGAGUGAAUCUACCAGAACUAACUGGUAAGGCUAAAUACUCUUUCAAACCGAUAGUGAACUAGUACCGUGAGGGAAAGGUGAAAAGUAGCCCGGUGAGGGCGGUGAAAUAGACCUGAAACCAUAUGUCUACAAAUAGUUGGAGAGGAGCUAAAAUUUAUUUUAGCAUCCUCGACAGCGUGCCUAUUGAAGAAUGAGCCAACGAGUUUAAUCAUUUUCUUUGUCUAAGCCCAUAGGGGCGAAGGCUAAGCGAAAGCGAGUCUGAACAGG